GCGCGGGCCGUGUCAAACGGACGCGACAGGGAUGGUGAACAUCGCGAUUUUUCCGUUUUCUCGCGAUGGCAACGAAACGGCAGACGAGCGCCCCACCUGUCCGGCAU
rnacentral:sRNA from 1 species